rnacentral:lncRNA from 1 species
CCCAGGCAUUCGAGCCGGCAACAGCAACCCCCUUUGGGUCCCCUCCUUCCUAUGGGAGCUUUGUUUUCACUCUAUUUCACUCUAUUAAAUCUUGCACUGCACUCUUCUCGUCCAUGUUUGUUACGGCUCGAGCUGAGCUUUUCGCUCGCCGUCCACCACUGCUGUUUGCCACUGUCGUAGACCCGCCCCUGACUCCCAUCCCGCCACUGACUCCCAUCCCUCCAGAUCCGGCAGGGUGUCCGCUGUGCUCCUGAUCCAGCAAGACUCCGGUUGCCACUCCUGAUUUUGCUAAAGGCUUGCCAUUGUUCCUGCACGGCUAAGUGCCUGGGUUCGUCCUAAUUGAGCUGAACACUAGUCACUGGGUUCCACGGUUCUCUUCCAUGACCCACAGCUUCUAAUAGAGCUAUAACACUCACUGCAUGAUCCAAGAUUCCAUUCCUUGGAAUCCGUGAGGCCAAGAAUCCCGGGUCAGAGAACACAAAGCUUGCCACCAUCUUGGAAGCGGCCCACCACCAUCUUGGAAGCGGCUUGCCACCAUCUUGGGAACUCUGUGAGCAAGGGCCUCAGGUAACAUUUUGGUGACCACGAAGUGACCUCCAAAGCGAUGCGGAGUCUCACUGUGUUGCAAAUUCCUGACCUCAAGUGAUCUUCCUGCCUGGGCCUCAAAGUGCGGGGAUUAUACGCAGGGGCCACUGCUUUCAGCCUUUAAAUUCUGUUAAAAACAGCGUUGGUGAGAAAGAAAAUGUCUACUUCCUGAGAAAGACUGAUAAGAAUCUAAAAGGCAUAAUUUUCUCAUAAAAGGGCAGCUGCAUAUGUUGGCAUGAUUGAUGAGAUCUGCUACAGUCAAGCAAGCAGCCCUGGGUGACCAGUUUACCCUUCCCUGCGAGGGUUCCAGCUGCCAGUUGCCCCCAUUCUGUGACAGCUUCUCCUUCUCCUCACCUUGUCAUCCAGCCAAGAUUGUACACUGUAGGAGUACAGGUGAGCAUCUGCCUCCAUAAUCAUUGCCAACAGCCCUCCAUUAUCAACUGCCAGGGGUGCUUCAAAGCAAUGUGGAGUUCUUUCUCUUGACACAGGGACCAAGUGUAUUUAUGCCUGAAACAAACUCUGCCUUUGCUGACUAGGGAAACUCACAUGUAAAAUGUUUUUUUUUAAUUGCAUCACAAAUCACUACAGUAUUAUAAAACAGGUCGUAGCAUCCUCCAGCCCUCACCACCAUGACCCCCAUCAGGUAUUGUACAUUAGACUAUGUAAAGACCUUUCACUUAAAAAUAGGGAUUUUCUCCCUGGUUAUUAUAUUCUCAUAUAAAAGAAAAAAUAAAAAGCUCUGUCAAACAUUUUCACUCCAGCGUCGUGUAAAUUAAAUCUACCUAUAAAGGUGAAUUAUCUUACAACAUCUGUCCUUCUGUUUGUACAGCCACACCAUGUGUGGAUCAGAAAUAAACAAGACAGAUAAUUUGUGUAUAGCAACAUUAAAGUGAAUUCUACUGUUUUGGUUUUUAACUGCAUGAUGUUAAAAUUUUUAUUGUUAAAUGAUCUAUGGUUGUAAUUUAAUAUUUACUGAGAGUCCACAGUAAUCUAGGAACUAUAUGGACUAUAAAUAAGAUGUAACUCCUGCUUUUAAAAUGAACUAAAUUUCUAUUGUAAUAUAUAUUAUGAAUUAUAUUUAUGCAUUUACUUUGUAUAGAGAAUAUGAUGCAUAAUUUUGACAGUGAUAUGUGUCUGUCAGAAUAACAAUGCAAUUGCCUCAAAAUAGUCAAAAGAGACAUUGUUAUACAAUGCUUAUUAAGAUCAAAGGCUUUUUCAGAGAAAUAUUAUAUUUUAAAUCUGGGCUGCUACAUACCAGCUGCAAGAUCUUGGACAAGUUAUUUAACUUCACAGAAUGUUAAGUUUCCUUAUCUUCAAAUGGAGAUAAUAAAAUUUACCUUGUCUGGUAGUUCUGAGAAUUGAGUAUGAAAAUAUAUGUAAACAUAUGUAAAGCUCUUAGUGCAAUGCUUGACACAUGGAUCUUAUUAUUACUAAAGCAGUAAAUGAAGAACAUAAGGAUUGCUUAUUGAUAGCUUCUGAUACAGCCAUGAUCCCCACACCAAGAAACUUGUAUCAGUUGAAGUUCAUUAAUAUACCUAUAUAUAAAAAUAGACAUGGUAUAUAAAUAUAGUGGUGGAAGAGGUUUUUUUUAUUGAAUUAUUGUCCCAUAUAGAGAUAUUUAAUCUGAAUUAACAAGUAAGAGAAACUAUUCUGAAUUGUCUCCUCUAUAAAGACAGGGUGUUCAAGGUAUAUUAAGUCUUCUAAUUAUGUGCUAACUUGCACUUUUGUAAGCUUGACACAUAGUUGGUCUCUUUAACUUUUGGAGUCUAUUUCUCACAUGUAAAAUGAUCCACUUAAUAAUUUACAGUGUACACCUGCCUUUCCCUAGCUUCAUAUCUCCUGUCUUUAAGCAAUAAUGGAAUGUCUUUUUGUGGAAUUGUUCAAAAAUUUAGCUAAUGACAAUACUUCUCAUUGUACAUAACAAUUAUGAACAAUUAAUAUAUCUAAUUCUCAGUUUCUUUAUAAAUAGCAUAGUAAUGAGUAUCAAUGAAAUAAUUAUGGAAAAGAGUAUUGUGCUUCAUGUAUUUUUUGUUUAUAAUUAAUAGUAUUCUUGUUAUUAUAUUUUUUUAUAUUUAAGUUUAACUAAAAUUAGGAAAUUGAAUUUUAUGGUCACAUCUAACUCAAUUUAGACUACUAAUGCUAUUGAUUCCUAGAUCACGAAUGGAGGCUUGAGGUGAUUUUGCAAAAAAAAGUUUUGCAUACUCUGCAGCGUAUGUUUCCCUUAUUCUAAGCCUCAGAAUAUGGAGAGAGACUUGUGUUUGUACAUUUGGUCUGAAAUCCUCACCAGGGGCUACAGUUCCCCCUAAUUAAUCCACAUGUACAUGUAGCUCUCCAGGAAAUGCCCUUCAGGAUGUGCAUGUGAUCACAGCUGACAGCAAAAAAGCAAAAUAUGCUCAGUGUAGGAAAAUUCUUUUUUCUUUUCUUUUCUUUUCUCUUUUCUUUACUCUUUCUUUCUUUCUUUCUUUCCUUCCUUCCUUCCUUCCUUCCUUCCUUCCUUCCUUCCUUCCUUCCUUCUUUCUUUCUUUCUCUUUCUUUCUUUCUUUCUUUCUUUCUUUCUUUCUUUCUUUCUUUCUUUCUUUCUUUCUUUCUUUCUCUCUCUCUCUCUUUUCUUUCUUUCUUUGUUUCUUUCCUCUGUCUUUUUGUCUUGGAAAGAACACAAAUGACUAUCAUGACUAUGAUUAUUAGUCACAUUGGAUUAGAAGUAAUCUAUCAACAAUAUGAUUUACUAAAAUAGCAUUCUGACCACAAACAAUAUUGACUUUAAUUAUAUUUUAGUUGUUAUUCAUGCUCUAAUGUUGGCAGAAAAAGGAAGACAGAAACAAAAGAAAUAUGGAUGAACACAAAACAGCUAGGUUACUUUGCAUCAUAACCUCAAGGUGGAGAGGUCUUUGGGUACUCACAGCAGGGAAGAGGCCAGUAUCUUGCAGCAUAACAAAUGGAUGUCACACAUGAAUGAGAAGGCAGAAGGGCAGUAUUCAGACUAAAUUUGCUGGACAUUUUAUCCUAGUAGGUGAGCACUGAAGCAGUGCAUAUGCCAGGGCUCUUGGGUUAAUAUAGAAGGAUAUGGAUAAUAUUUUGUAAGUAAAAAAUGACUGAGAAGGAGUGAAACAUUUGAUGCACUAAAGCAUGAAAUGGAAGAUGGAUUAAAAGGAUAUAUUAAAAAUGUUCAUGUAUAUUCAACUGGCCUAAGAGAAAAGUAUUCUUUAUUUCAUAUUCUCCUAUUUUUGGUAAACUAUGACCUAAAAAUCAUUUCUAUGUUUCACACACACACUGGAAUAUAUCUAUUUUCCCAUGGAAAUUGAGAUAAAAAUUAGCAUCAAAUGAUAUAUAACAUAGUAAUAUUAUGAUUAGUAUCUAUUGCCUUGCACGCUGUGGUCAAACUCAUAACAAUUCAUAUGAAUGUAGAAUAUAUAAUAUAUAUGUAUUGUAAUUUGUGUAAUAUGAUGAGUGCUGCCAGACAAAUUAAUAUAUUUAAAACAUUAAACAUAGUAACUGCUUUGAUGGCUCCUUUCUGAGAAAGCCAGUAUCUGUUAUGCUAAGUUUUUGUUAUCCUGAAUUAUUUGGGAGGUCAUACAACUUUCAUUCCUGGAAAUUCAAAUGUGUCCUACAGCCGUGAAACAGUCCCAAAAAUGUAGGCUUAAGGUAAUACAUUUGUAAAAUAUUGAAUUGCCUUUUUUCAUGUAAUAAUAAAUGUGGG